GACGAACGCUGGCGGCACGCCUAACACAUGCAAGUCGAACGGACUUAAAAGAGCUUGCUUUCUCAAGUUAUUGGCGGACGGGUGAGUAACACGUGAGCAACCUCCCUCUGAGAGGGGGAUAUCAUCUGGAAACGGAUGGUAUUACCCCAUAAAAUAUAUAUAUCCCCUGAUAGAUAUAUCAAAGAAAUUCGCUCAGAGAUGGACUCGAGUCUGAUUAGAUAGUUUGUGAGGUAACUGCUCACCAAGUCGACGAUCAGUAGACGGAAUGAGAGGUUGAACGGACACAUUGGGACUGGGAAGCGGCACAGAAUCCUACGCGAGGCAGCAGUGGGGAAUAGUGCAACAUGGAGGGAACUCUGAUGGAGCGAUGACGCGUGGAGGAAGAAAGUAUUCAGAUUGUAAUCUCCUUUUAUCAGUGAACAUAAUGACGGUACCUGAACAAAAAGCCCCGGCUAACUACGUG
rnacentral:rRNA from 1 species